UGUAAUAUGUGUAAGUAUCAGUAUUCAAUGCUAUAUUAAGCACCGAAGCCGAUGCUCACUUGUUGGUAGUGUGGGGUUAACCCGCUGGUCGCCUGCGGGCAUCACUCACGGCCAAGUCGCGCUCAGACAAAGACGGGCAAGAUGGUGGCCAAGGUAAAUACUUUAAUUUUGUAGUAAAAACUGAUUGUCAUUGUGCCAAGUUAAUUGCAUGUAUUGUUAAUGAAUAUUGUAAUAUGUUGAAAGUGUUUUAUAUCAGUGUAUAAUGUUAUUUUGUAAGAAAUUGAGACUGAGAACUUGUUCGCAGUUCUUACGGUCAUGCCUACCUCAUCAAUAAACGUGUCAGGGAGAACUGCCUUUCCUCGACCCUACGAUGAUGGGUGUGAUCAGUAAAACAGAUCACCUGAGAGCCAAUUGAUGCCCAGCCGGUGCGGCUACAGUAACCAUUUAUCUUAAAUUAACAUUAUGUACCUUAAAACCAAUAUUAGCACAUAAUAAAUAUUUUGUUACACUUGUGGUCUGAGAUGUUGCGAGGAAUUGGUAUAUAAAGGCUGCUGGAAAAAACUCACAAACAUUUUUCAUAUUUUCAUUAAUAACUAAUAAUUAUUUCUUAUGAGUCAAAAUUUCUUACUCGCAUUCAUCAAGUAAUUCAAAGUUAUUAGGUGUCACUUUAUAUCUCUUCAACAUAUUCACUGAUCAACAUAAUCAUCAUGCAAAACACAGACAAUAUUAAAUGCAUAAACCCAAGAAAUAUUCAAUUGGCACCAUUAAUGUUCAGUUAGAAAAACACACAUUAUACCAGCAUCAGAUCAAUUACUAUAAACAUUCACAUUGCUCAUUGAUGCAUGUGAUCUGCCCACAGGUAUGGUGCUUGAUACGGAAGCCAGACAGAGGGUAGAGGCAGUUUGGAGAUAGAGUGUGAGAUAUGUAAAAUGUUAUGAAAAUAAAGAAAUAGGAAAGGAAAUAGGCAGUCCCAAACAAUUGUAUAUCAUAACAUGUAACAAUGGAAUAAUUCAGUAGCAGAGAGUAGCAGACACAGAAGCAGAGAGGGCCUGACCAGAGAGGGGUCGAGAUGGAUGGAAUUGCUGAAAAAGGUGGACAGAAUAGGGGUGAGAGGAAGAAGAAAGGCUUGUGCAGCGAGGCCGCAGGAGGAGGGGAGGUAUGCAGUUAGCAAGAUCAGAAGAGCAGUUAGCAUGAAAAUAGCAGUAGAAGAUAGCUAGAGAUGCAACAUUGCGGCGAUGAGAAAGAGGCUGAAGACAGUCAGUUAGAGGAAACGAGUUGAUGAGACGAAAAGCUGGGAUUGCUAGGAGCUGUAUGCCUUUCAGCCCUUUCUGCUGGUCAGGCAUAAGUCAGAGUGGGAACUAGGGAGAGAAAAGCAGGGGAUGAUGGCUACUGUGAGAUUGAGUUGCCACUACCUGGGAUCAGCCUCCCUACACUGUCAUGUCUACACAGUGUAGUGCAGAGCUAGAUUCACCUUCACAGGGUCCUUCUGGCCUCCUGUAGUGAAUUACACAAAUGAAGUUGCUGGCCUGUUUCACCCACCUACAGGCAAGGGAAUAUUACUACUGCCA